rnacentral:lncRNA from 1 species
GCUAGGAACAAAGCGCGUGACCAAGAGCAAGAACCAAGCAGUUUGAUGAUUUUUGCCCAAAAUAUGUCUGAACAAUGGCAAACAAACAGUUAAACCACCUGUGUGACACUUAAAAGCAUCUUUUUUGAGGGAGAGGUAAAAGCUCUCAUAAUAAACCAGGAACCACAGCCAAGAACCCAGAAUUACAUUAACUACUGGCAAAGAAGGCCAACUGGCAAAGGCUGCCAACUUCUCAGUGUAGGGCACGGGUUCUGCAGCAGCAGUCACUCCAAGGCUCUUCUUCUGUAUUCUGAAGAGUAACUACAACCAGCUCACAUACUGCACAGCCACUGAAGCCUGGCAGAGGCUGCAUUCAGGAUUAAGAGAGCCGCUCUAUUACCCCGCUCAACACAGCUGUUAAUCACUUACUGACUGUGUUUGAUCUCCUUCAUAUGCUGUAGUUUUUUUUUUUUUACUUUUUUAGGCAUUGUAUAAAUGUUAACGUUGUAGACCUAUUUCACUGAAAUAGUAAUGUAGUUUUUAUAAAAUGCGCUAAAACUUGUCCUUUCAAAUAAACAUAUUUUGACAGCAAUGAAUUAGCCA